rnacentral:lncRNA from 1 species
GAUCUAUGAUAUAAAAAAUUUAUAUAAAAAUAUAAUAUAAAAUAGAAAACUACAUCAAUCACAUCGAUGCCCUGAAUCUGAUCUAACCUUUAGAUCAUAUUGGUUGAAUUCAGAACUCAUCAUCUUUUCAAGAGUCGAUGAUCUCUACUACUGAUAGGUAUGGUAUAAAACUCUCACUGAUAUCGAGUAGCCGCACAGAUCAUCCAACCUCUAC